rnacentral:rRNA from 1 species
CUACGAAUCUUCCGCAAUGGGCGAAAGCCUGACGGAGCGACAUCGCGUGGACGAAGAAGGCCGAGAGGUUGUAAAGUCCUUUUAUGUAUGAGGAAUAAAGCAAGGAGUGGAACGCCUUGGAGAUGACGUUAAUACAUGAAUAAGCUCCGGCUAAUUACGUGCCAGCAGCCGCGGUAAUACGUAAGGAGCGAGCGUUGUUCGGAAUUAUUGGGCGUAAAGGGCGCGUAGGCGGCCGCAAAAGUCUGUAGCUAAAGAUCUGGGCUCAACUCAGAGAAAGUUAUGGAAACUGUGUGGCUAGAAUCCUUCAGGGGAAACUGGAAUUUCUGGUGUAGGGGUGGAAUCUGUUGAGAUCAGAAAGAACACCAAAGGCGAAGGCAAGUUUCUGGGGAGUGAUUGACGC